rnacentral:rRNA from 1 species
GACGAACGCUGGCGGCGUGCCUAAUACAUGCAAGUAGAACGCUGAAGGAGGAGCUUGCUUCUCUGGAUGAGUUGCGAACGGGUGAGUAACACGUAGGUAACCUGCCUGGUAGCGGGGGAUAACUAUUGGAAACGAUAGCUAAUACCGCAUAAGAGUAGAUGUCGCAUGACAUUUGCUUAAAAGGUGCAAUUGCAUCACUACCAGAUGGACCUGCGUUGUAUUAGCUAGUUGGUGAGGUAACGGCUCACCAAGGCAACGAUACAUAGCCGACCUGAGAGGGUGAUCGGCCACACUGGGACUGAGACACGGCCCAGACUCCUACGGGAGGCAGCAGUAGGGAAUCUUCGGCAAUGGACGGAAGUCUGACCGAGCAACGCCGCGUGAGUGAAGAAGGUUUUCGGAUCGUAAAGCUCUGUUGUAAGAGAAGAACGAGUGUGAGAGUGGAAAGUUCACACUGUGACGGUAUCUUACCAGAAAGGGGCGGCUAACUACGUG